GGCUUCUGGAGCUUCUCAUCACCUGCUUUCUGCAAUCCCAGCCCAUUUGCUGUGUCUUGUAAGGAGCACCUGAAAUCACUGGUCACAUUUGAGGGUAGUCCUAAAAAGAAAGCUGGUGACUCUGUUGUCCUACCGCCAUAGACGGUGACGGCGAUGCUGAAGGCACUGGCCGAGUUGCUCCUCCUCAGCUCUUCUGUGUGAGGACCAAAGAAUACAAGAGACUGAAUUAUCUGAAUUAUGCUUCUACAACAGAACUGGGUUUCUCCUCAUUGGGCAUGGCAGAGCCUGGGGAAGCCCUUCCUUUUGUUUGUUUUCUUAAUGUUGCAAACAGCUGAUCUGCAAGCCAGGAGAGGUCACCAGUUUGUCUGGAAAACAGCCUUGCUUUGAGUCAGAUGCUCCUACACAGAGAAACCCAAGUGGAAAAGGACCACAGGAGCUCAUCUGGUUGGACCUUACCACAGAACAGGUUCAGCAUUGAAUGCACACCCUGAGGUUCCUCAGGGUUUGCUCAGUCAGAUCUUGGAAACCUCCAAGGAUGAGGUUCUGUUGUCCUUUGGGGCAGCCUGUUCCCAGGGUUAUCCUCACAGCAGUGAGGAUUUUCCUUACACCCAGCUUGGAGCCUGCCUGUUUCCAUGUACAUCCACAGUCUGCAUCCUGCUGUGAUGAGAUCAAGCAUCCAUCCAGCAUCUGAUUAGGGUACAAUACAUAGGAGACAGACUGUCAAGCCUUUAUCUUCAUAUUUUUGUACUUUCUGUAGACAGAUCACUGUGAAAUUAAUUUCCUCUUAUUUAGUUUUCUUCUUUAAUUACCAGUGGCCUUCCUUUCUAGAUGGGGAGUUGUAAAGCAUGCUUCUGCAGUUCAGGCUUCUGAUGCCUAAAUUCCAGUGGGUUUAUAGCACAGUUAAUAUUAUAAUUCACAUUGUGCUGAGAUGUUUCUUUUAAUUGACUCAGAUUUUGAGAAAAGUGUAAAUUUAAUAUGAGCCAUCUAAAAAUAAUUAAAUUCUAAUUACAAAGCGGACUACUGACGAGAAGUAUUUGCAGCUUUCUCCUCAUUUGAGCUACUGAACAGGAUAUUUAACCAAGCAGUGAAACAUUGUGGAUAAGUUUACUGCCACAACCUGAGGAGAUUGUCAGAAAGUGAAAAAAAAUCUAUAGUAAUGGGUUUUGCAUCUGAUUUUUUAACCUUAUUUUUCAUGCUUCUUUUUCUGGUAUGCCAAGAGCAGGCUCUGUUUUUAGCAUGUUUGCCAGGGAAUAAUUGCAAAUUAUAAUGUGUCUAACGACAGUGUAAUUACUUACAAGUUCUUGCUUGGUGGUUUUUUUUUUUUUUUCGGUUUUUAGUAAUUUUUCAUUCUGAAUUCACAUCUGACUUUAAAUAAUGGCCAGUUCUUGCUUUCUGGCUUCAGCUGAGUGUCUCUGUAUCCUGUUAAUGUUUGAGUGAUCAUUCUGCCAUUCAUGAGUAGAGCAGUUCAUGAGCAGCACCCAGGAGAGUUCUGUGCAGUGGGGAAAGAGCAGUGCUGAGUUUGAUGAGUGAUCUCUGCUACAACUGCUUGGCAUUCCUGCAUGGGGGGAGGGGGUUAAUGCUAUUUUAAUGCAAUUCACUGUCUUAAGAAAUAGUAAGCCCUUGAUUGGUGUAAUGUGUUUCAAGGUCCUAUUGAUGUGUAAAAUUUCAUUCUGUUUAAUGCUAAAGGGAUUUUAUUUUUUUUUUUUAAUUUUUGCUUUGAAUAAAACUGGUGAAAAUGGAACUUCUUCUGUACUGAAACUCCGACAUCUCUAAAAACUAAACUGUCUUUGCUG